rnacentral:rRNA from 1 species
AUGGCUCAGGAUGAACGCUAGCUACAGGCUUAACACAUGCAAGUCGAGGGGCAGCAUGUGGUUGCUUGCAACCAAUGAUGGCGACCGGCGCACGGGUGAGUAACGCGUAUCCAACCUCCCCCACAGUAGAGGAUAGCCCGGCGAAAGUCGGAUUAAUACUCUAUGUUGUAUUUUGAGGACAUCUGACGAAUACCAAAGGUUUACCGCUAUGGGAUGGGGAUGCGUCUGAUUAGGUAGUCGGCGGGGUAACGGCCCACCGAGCCAUCGAUCAGUAGGGGUUCUGAGAGGAAGGUCCCCCACAUUGGUACUGAGACACGGACCAAACUCCUACGGGAGGCAGCAGUGAGGAAUAUUGGUCAAUGGGCGCGAGCCUGAACCAGCCAAGUAGCGUGCAGGACGACUGCCCUAUGGGUUGUAAACCGCUUUUGCGAGGGAGCAAUAAGGUCCACGUGUGGGCCGAUGAGAGUACCUCGCGAAUAAGCAUCGGCUAACUCCGUGCCAGCAGCUGC